AUUAGAGAAACCUUCAAGCUUCCUAAAUCACUUCUAUGUUAGUAUCCUCCAUUAAAUCAAGCCCUAAAACACCUUAUACCCUUGAAUCAAGAGAUAUUGGAAGAAUUAGAACUUGGAGUCUAGAGUGAAGAAAUUCUACUUCUCUAAAAAAAAUCAUUGAAGGAAAGAAGUAAGUUGUCUCCACUUUGACGAGAGCUUGAGCUAAAGUCUUCAGAAUAAGCGAGGAGCGAGAUUGGUCUGGUGCUGGUGGGGAAUUGUUUCGGUCGAUGUGUUUUCUUUACCGCAUUUCCAUUUUGUUGAUAGAGUCUUGAUAUGGAGUCACUUUGAAUUUGAAUCAAGCAAUUUACUCUCGGUUAUGUGUUUUUAUACAUAUAAUCGGUUCACUUUUUGUUGCGAUACUCUGAAUAACAUGUUUCCUUGUGAAUAUUUAUCUAUACCCGCUUUGUAUUUGUUCUUGAGAAUUCUGAUAUUUUUGGAGUUAUGAUGAUGACGACGUUUA